rnacentral:rRNA from 1 species
GACGAACGCUGGCGGCGUGCUUAACACAUGCAAGUCGAGCGGUAAGGCCCUUUCGGGGGUACACGAGCGGCGAACGGGUGAGUAACACGUGGGUGACCUGCCCUCAGCUCUGGGAUAAGCCUGGGAAACCGGGUCUAAUACCGGAUAUGACUCCAUGACGCAUGUUGUGGGGUGGAAAGCCUUGUGCGGCUGAGGAUGGGCCCGCGGCCUAUCAGCUUGUUGGUGGGGUGAUGGCCUACCAAGGCGACGACGGGUAGCCGGCCUGAGAGGGCGACCGGCCACACUGGGACUGAGACACGGCCCAGACUCCUACGGGAGGCAGCAGUGGGAAUCUUGCGCAAUGGGCGAAAGCCUGACGCAGCGACGCCGCGUGAGGGAUGACGG